AUUACUGGCUCCUGGAGUUCUCCGUAAUGCCCUCACGGACCCCUCAUGCAAGGGACAUCUCAGCACAAGGCUGUUUGCACUCCCAACACUGCUCAGGCUGAGUUGAAGAUCCCUCUCAUUUGCCGGGUGCCAAGAAAGAUGAACAGACCGGGCAAUAGAAAAAUAGCCAAAGAAGGAUCCAGUGAUUUGAAAUUCCAGAACUUCACUCUGCCGAAAAAUAGGUCAUGGCCCAGAAUCGACAGUGCCACAGGACAGUACCAGACUAUUAACGAGCCUCUUCUUGAUAGUGAAAGGAAUUCCAUAGCAGUCCUGGCUGGAGCAAAAGGCCACACAGAUGGUGACUAUGAAGACCCUGAGCUUCACACGGGAGAAGACUGGCAAUCAGUGAAAAUCUUACCAGCCAGGCCUAUUAAGGAAUCUGAAUAUGCAGAUACACGCUAUUUCAAGGGUAUGAUGGACACACCACUGUCUUUAGAUUCCAAGACCUCUCUCCCCACAGACAAGCAAACCUGGACGAAGCUGGAAGAAGUGGAAAAACCCAUUUCCAAGGACAUCAGAAAACAACAUGUUAAAGGAGACAAACCCACUAAGGGAAACAAGACACCUUUACCUCCUCCUCGGCCACCCGUCAAGCUUCCAAAGAAGUACCAGCCCCUCCCCCCGGAGCCGCCGAGCAGCAGGCCACCAUUCCCCCAGAGGCACACCUUCCCCGAAGCGCAGAAAGGGGCCAGACAGAUAAGCUUAAAGAAUUUAAGUGAGGUCCUUGGAACAGAGAAAGUUCCUUAUCACCAGAUGAAGCCUGAAGCACCUCAUCUGGCACAAAACCAAAGUCCUCAAGAGAUUCCUCUUGCCGUUGCCAGCUCUUCAUUCAUGACACGCAACCCGACUGUGCAAAACCGAGAUCAUAAAGAAAGCAUGCCAUCCUAUGCUCCUCAGAGAUGUCAGUCUCCAGCCGGCUCUGGCCCUCAGGAAAAUCCACUACUUCAUAAAAUCACGAGCAGGAAGAAACCUUUCCCUGCAAGGUCUGAUGGCAAGGAUGUCCAGCACAAUGAAUGGUACAUCGGAGAAUACAGUCGCCAGGCAGUGGAAGAGGCGUUACUGAAGGAGCACAAGAAUGGUACCUUCUUGGUCCGAGAUUGCUCUGCAAAAUCCAGGGCGGAGCCCUAUGUGUUGGCAGUGUUUUAUGGGAACAAGGUCUACAAUGUGAAAAUCCGCUUCUUGGAGAGGAAUCAGCAGUUUGCCCUGGGGACAGGACUCAGAGGAGAUGAGAAGUUUGACUCGGUGGAAGCCAUCAUUGAACACUACAAGUAUUUUCCUAUUAUACUUAUUGACGGGAAAGAUAAAACUGGGACCCACAGAGAGCAAUGUUACCUAACUCAGGCCCUCCCUGUCAACAGACACUUCUCACCUAGGUAG
rnacentral:lncRNA from 1 species